UAUCUUGUCUUGUUCUAUAACCAGUAUUCCUUAACUUAAUUGUAUUGCUUGUGUUUUUACUACUGUCCACAGCAGACUGACACAGAAUCAGUGAGUUAGAAGUUCCUCUCCAGAACUUCAUGCACGUUUUUCAAGGAGAAAUACCUUUGCAUGAAUCAUCUGGCAGCAAUUAAUCUUCCUUAUCAUUUCAAUUUUCAGAUGU
rnacentral:misc_RNA from 1 species